rnacentral:misc_RNA from 1 species
GGAUGAAGAACGCAGCGAAAUGCGAUAAGUAGUGUGAAUUGCAGAAUUCAGUGAAUCAUCGAAUCUUUGAACGCACAUUGCGCCCCUUGGUAUUCCAUGGGGCAUGCCUGUUCGAGCGUCAUCUACACCCUCAAGCUCUGCUUGGUGUUGGGCGUCUGUCCCGCCUCCGCGCGUUGGACUCGCCCCAAAUUCAUUGGCAGCGUUCCUUGCCCCCUCUCGCGCAGCACAUUGCGCUUCUCGAGGGCGGCUCCGGGACGCGACCCACGAAGAUAACCACCGUCUUUGACCUCGGAUCAGGUAGGGAUACCCGCUGAACUUAAGCAUAUCAAUAAGCGGAGGA